GUAAUUAUCGAGUGAUCAAUUUACGAGUAGCUGUGUGCGGGGUAGUAUGUCUCUAUGGGAAUGAGUAAAUUUCAACUCGCAUCCUUCGGAAACUUCCUUUACGAUUUUUCUUCAACUCAGUUAAUUAACGUCUAACAGAAUUCGAGGAAACAGAUCGCAAAUGAAGAAAUAAAAGAUAUUUUUUUCGGUAAAAACGAAGUAAAGAUGCAAGUAAAUAAAAGAAAAAGUAGAAGAAGAAGCGAAAAAAGUGAGACAGAAAAUGAAGAGAAAACGAUUGCUAAGUGUGGUCUGUUUUUCGCCAGCAAACAAAAGCUUAGUUAGAGGAAACUUCCGCUCACCGUUUCCUGAGACUGCAUUGCACGUUCGGGACCAUUGAAUCGCCGGUUUUCUCACUUCCGCCAUUUCCUUCAGAAUGAUUUUGCCGACUUGCAAGCUCACAAAUUCCAAACUCUGAAGGGAACUGGAUAAGGACAUCGGCAACUCUUCAAAAGCCGUCUUGAGAACGAACCCAACAUCAACAAAGUUAAAAGAUGGUCAACUCUGGCCAUACAAAAAAGCUCAACGUCGUUUGAGCUUUUGAAUGAAGACUUC